GAGUGCCUCCUAUGGAGGCUGUUCAGGUGUCUAAAAAGCACUCGAAGUAAGGGCUGGGUAAGACCGGUGCCAGCCGCCGCGGUAACACCGGCAGCCCAAGUGGUAGCCACGAUUAUUGGGUNUAAAGCGUCCGUAGCCGGCCAGGUAAGUUCUUUGGGAAAUUUAACCGCUCAACGGUUAAGCUUUCAGGGAAUACUGCUUGGCUUGGGACCGGGAGAGGUCAGAGGUACUUCAAGGGUAGGGGNGAAAUCCGUUAAUCCUNGAGGGACCACCAGUAGNGAAGGCGUCUGACCAGGCCGGGUCCGACGGUGAGGGACGAAGGNUAGGGUCGCGAACCGGAUUAGAUACCCGGGUAGUCCUAGCUGUAAACGAUGCGGGCCAGGUGUUGGCAUUACUGCGAGUGAUGUCAGUGCCGAAGGGAAGCCGUUAAGCCCGCCAUCUGGGGAGUACGGUCGCAAGGNUGAAACUUAAAGGAAUUGGCGGGGGAGCACCACAACGGGUGGAGCCUGCGGUUCAAUUGGAUUCAACGCC
rnacentral:rRNA from 1 species